CCCCGGCCAUCUUUGUGCGGGGCGCAGCUCUUGCAGGGGCAAGGUUUGGGAGUUCUGAGCCGCUUCUGGACCGACCCAACCCCGCACCCGGAUGGGAGUAGGGGAUGGAGCGGGUGUUAGGGCAGGUCAUGAACUGUGCGUCCAGUCGGGCAUCGAAAAGGUCCCAAACCCCGCGGGGAACAGCGUCAGAAAACACGACCCUGAGUGGAGCGUGGCGUAGUCCGAGUCCUCAGGAGGUUCCCGGAGGCAGGACCCGUUGGCACUUCUCGGGCCUCUGGCCGCCACCUUUUGCCGCUUUUAGCCAAAAGCCCGCACUGGGCUGUUUAAUGGGAUCAGCUAAAUGCGCUUCGGUUUAUGGACAAAUCUGCCUCCAUCGUUCAUUGACUCCAUUGUGCAUUGUCCCUCAGCAGACGCUAAAUCCAAGUUCCUUCCAACUGCGUGUUUUCUGCUGUUUGCGUUUAUGUGAUUUAUCUGCUUAUUUUACUUAAGAAGCUAGUUUAUAGAACUUUAAUUCAAUAAACCUUUGUUAAGUGUCUGCAAAUUCAGUACUCGCAACGCACUGAGAGACAGUUUUCACCCUCAUGACAUUGAUACAUGGGGAGAGAGAACUUGGAACACAAGUUACAUGGAAGAGAUACGUGGCAAGUGUAGCAGGAUCCGCAUUAGUAACAUUUUCUCGAUUUUCUUAAGUCUAAACAAUCAACAAAACACUAAGUUCGCUGAUUUCCAAGAUGUAAACGCGCACAGCGAAAAUUUAACGACUGGCUCAGUUUGACGGGUCUCCACUCUAGCGCUCUUAUCUGUAAGUAAGGGAAAGUAGGGAGGAUCAGAGAAGACUUCCCGGAUAAAAUGACAUUUAAGGUUUACGCGAUGGGAAGAAGAUGGGGAAAGCCCGAGAAAAUGCAAGGACAGAAGAAAAGCACCAAACAUGUGUGGGGAGCUGUUGAAAUGAAAAUGGAUCUUCUCUUCCUGAACUCAAAGCACUGACCUCUUCGCUGGAUGGCAAGGAAUUCAAUACGUGUGGUCAUAGAGUCAUACAACAUUAGGCCAGGAGGCAUGGCAGGAUCGUAAGGGGUGAAACUCUGUCGUCCUGUCUCUGGUGCUGGUGGUUGGUGAGGGGGAAGGGGCUUGUGACUCCGGAUCUUGUCAGCGUUAAAUCAUAGGCAGGCGUGGGAAUGCCCCAGAGGUCAUCUGAUCUAACCCUCUAAAGACCUUGUACAUCAUCCCACUACUCCAACUUCACCAUUUUUACAGAUGAAGUGACUUGAAGAGAAGUCAGACUGAGGAUCUCAGAGUGGGAAGGAACUUCAGAGGUCAUCCAGUCUAACUUCAUACCUAAAGUAUGAAUUCCUUCCAUAUCGUCUCCAAUGGGAAGAGAGCAUAAGCUUUCUGAAGACAAGAAAUAUUUCAUUUUGCAACAUCCACCCUUUGUUCCUAUUUCUCUCAAGUAAAACAGGUUUAAUACUGUGGCCAAGAUCAUAUGCCACUGAUAAUCUUAGAAAUGGAAAAUUAGAAUUGUUAUUAAUUUCA